GAUGAACGCUGGCGGCGUGCCUAAUACAUGCAAGUCGAGCGAAGAGACGAGGAGUUUGCUCCGCUGACGUUAGCGGCGGACGGGUGAGUAACACGUGGAUAACCUAUCUAUAAGACUGGGAUAAGGUCGGGAAACCGGAGCUAAUACCGUAUAACAUGUUGAACCGCAUGGGGCAACAGUGAAAGACUGUCUUUGGGUCACUUAUAGACGGAUCCGCGCGUCAUUGGAUAGUUGGUAGGGUAAGGGGUUAGCAAGGCAACGAUGGGUAGACGACAUGAGAGGGUGAUCGGCCACACUGGAACGGAGCCACGGUCAAGACUCCUACGGGAGGCCGCAGUCGGGAAUGUUCCGCAAUGGGCGAAAGCCUGACGGAGCAACGCCGCGUGAGUGAAGAAGGUCUUCGGAUCGUAAAGCUCUGUUAUUAGGGAAGAACAAAUGUGUAAGUAAAUGUACACGUCUUGACGGUACCUGAUCAGAAAGCCACGGCUAACUACGUG
rnacentral:rRNA from 1 species